GAGAGUUUGAUCCUGGCUCAGGACGAACGCUGGCGGCGCGCCUAACACAUGCAAGUCGAACGAGCGAGAGAGAGCUUGCUUUCUCGAGCGAGUGGCGAACGGGUGAGUAACGCGUGAGGAACCUGCCUCAAAGAGGGGGACAACAGUUGGAAACGACUGCUAAUACCGCAUAAGCCCACAGCUCGGCAUCGAGCAGAGGGAAAAGGAGCAAUCCGCUUUGAGAUGGCCUCGCGUCCGAUUAGCUGGUUGGCGAGGUAACGGCCCACCAAGGCGACGAUCGGUAGCCGGACUGAGAGGUUGAACGGCCACAUUGGGACUGAGACACGGCCCAGACUCCUACGGGAGGCAGCAGUGGGGAAUAUUGCACAAUGGGGGAAACCCUGAUGCAGCGACGCCGCGUGGAGGAAGAAGGUCUUCGGAUUGUAAACUCCUGUUGCUGAGGAAGAUAAUGACGGUACUCAACAAGGAAGUGACGGCUAACUACGUGCCAGCAGCCGCGGUAAAACGUAGGUCACAAGCGUUGUCCGGAAUUACUGGGUGUAAAGGGAGCGCAGGCGGGAAGGCAAGUUGGAAGUGAAAUCCAUGGGCUCAACCCAUGAACUGCUUUCAAAACUGUUUUUCUUGAGUAGUGCAGAGGUAGGCGGAAUUCCCGGUGUAGCGGUGGAAUGCGUAGAUAUCGGGAGGAACACCAGUGGCGAAGGCGGCCUACUGGGCACCAACUGACGCUGAGGCUCGAAAGUGUGGGUAGCAAACAGGAUUAGAUACCCUGGUAGUCCACACUGUAAACGAUGAUUACUAGGUGUUGGAGGAUUGACCCCUUCAGUGCCGCAGUUAACACAAUAAGUAAUCCACCUGGGGAGUACGACCGCAAGGUUGAAACUCAAAGGAAUUGACGGGGGCCCGCACAGGCAGUGGAGUAUGUGGUUUAAUUCGACGCAACGCGAAGAACCUUACCAAGUCUUGACAUCCUGCGACGCACAUAGAAAUAUGUGUUUCCUUCGGGACGCAGAGACAGGUGGUGCAUGGUUGUCGUCAGCUCGUGUCGUGAGAUGUUGGGUUAAGUCCCGCAACGAGCGCAACCCUUAUGGUCAGUUACUACGCAAGAGGACUCUGGCCAGACUGCCGUUGACAAAACGGAGGAAG
rnacentral:rRNA from 1 species